rfam:Caenorhabditis elegans chromosome IV
CCAACGGCCCUCUUUAGGGCCACAAAUAUAAAAAAUCCUAAAGAU